rnacentral:rRNA from 1 species
CCUACGGGAGGCUGCAGUGGGGAAUUUUGGACAAUGGGCGAAAGCCUGAUCCAGCAAUGCCGCGUGAGUGAAGAAGGCCUUCGGGUUGUAAAGCUCUUUUGUGGAACGUUCGGUACCUGAAGAAUAAGCACCGGCUAACUACGUGCCAGCAGCCGCGGUAAUACGUAGGGUGCAAGCGUUAAUCGGAAUUACUGGGCGUAAAGCGUGCGCAGGCGGUUUUGUAAGUUUGUCGUGAAAGCCCCGGGCUCAACCUGGGAAUGGCGAUGAAGACUGCAAGGCUUGAAUCUGGCAGAGGGGGGUAGAAUUCCACGUGUAGCAGUGAAAUGCGUAGAGAUGUGGAGGAACACCGAUGGCGAAGGCAGCCCCCUGGGUCAGUUGACGCUCAUGCACGAAAGCGUGGGGAGCAAACAGGAUUAGAUACCCUUGUAGUC